rnacentral:rRNA from 1 species
UCCAGACUCCUACGGGAGGCAGCAGUGGGGAAUAUUGCACAAUGGGGGAAACCCUGAUGCAGCGACGCCGCGUGAGUGAAGAAGUAUCUCGGUACGUAAAGCUCUCUCAGCAGGGAAGAAAAUGACGGUACCUGACUAAGAAGCCCCGGCUAACUACGUGCCAGCAGCCGCGGUAAUACGUAGGGGGCAAGCGUUAUCCGGAUUUACUGGGUGUAAAGGGAGCGUAGACGGUUAUGCAAGUCUGGAGUGAAAGGCGGGGGCUCAACCCCCGGACUGCUCUGGAAACUGUAGAACUAGAGUGCAGGAGGGGUAAGUGGAAUUCCUAGUGUAGCGGUGAAAUGCGUAGAUAUUAGGAGGAACACCAGUGGCGAAGGCGGCUUACUGGACUGUAACUGACGUUGAGGCUCGAAAGCGUGGGGAGCAAACAGGAUUAGAUACCCCAGUA